rnacentral:rRNA from 1 species
GACGAACGCUGGCGGCGUGCUUAACACAUGCAAGUCGAACGGAAAGGCCCUGCUUUUGUGGGGUGCUCGAGUGGCGAACGGGUGAGUAACACGUGAGUAACCUGCCCUUGACUUUGGGAUAACUUCAGGAAACUGGGGCUAAUACCGGAUAGGAGCUCCUGCUGCAUGGUGGGGGUUGGAAAGUUUCGGCGGUUGGGGAUGGACUCGCGGCUUAUCAGCUUGUUGGUGGGGUAGUGGCUUACCAAGGCUUUGACGGGUAGCCGGCCUGAGAGGGUGACCGGCCACAUGGGGACUGGGAUACGGCCCAGACUCCGACGGGAGGCAGGAGGGGGGAAUAUUGCACAAGGGGCGGAAGCCUGAUGCAGAACCGCCGGGUGGGGGAGGGCGGCCUUCGGGUGGGAAACCGCUUUCGCCUGUGACGAAGCGGGAGUGACGGUAAUGGGAAAAGAAGCACCGGCUAACUACGU